rnacentral:rRNA from 1 species
GACGAACGCUGGCGGCGUGCUUAACACAUGCAAGUCGAGCGGUAAGGCCCUUUCGGGGGUACACGAGCGGCGAACGGGUGAGUAACACGUGGGUGACCUGCCUUUAGCUCUGGGAUAAGCCUGGGAAACCGGGUCUAAUACCGGAUAUGACUCCGCGGCGCAUGUUGUGGGGUGGAAAGCCUUGUGCGGCUGGAGAUGGGCCCGCGGCCUAUCAGCUUGGUUGGUGGGGUGAUGGCCUACCAAGGCGACGACGGGUAGCCGGCCUGAGGA